AGAUCCCUGCUUAGGGCCCUUUGUGGAUGCAGCAGAGGAAACCGGCUCACAGGACCUGCCUUCUUAGGCCGAGAAGAGGGAGCUGGGCCAGAAGAGGCCCUUCUCAGGGUGCCCUGAGAGUGAGCAGACAUGUGUCCAGCCUUCACUGUCCAUUCCUGCUGAAGGACUGUCUUCAGUGACGAUUCUUUUUGUCACCAGUGAAGCUGGCCUUGUCCAGAGAGCAACAUGGUCUCAGCUAGUCAACCCUCCUGGCAGCUGUCAGUCUGGAGCUUGGUGAUCCUCAUUGCUUAACCUUCCGAGCCUGCUCUGUUGUCCUUUGUGGACUUAGAUUCUAGUUCGUAUUGAUUUUUGGUUUCCUUACCAAAACUCGCACAGAUGAUGACCUUUGCCUUGUUUCAGACUUCAUGUAAAUGUAACCGUGGUGCAAAGGAGAGAGCUCAGCCUGAAAAGCCAUUGUUAAAUUCAAUCCCAGCACCCAUGUAGAGACCUGUGUGGCAGUGCUGGCUUGAACCUCUGUGUUGGGGAGUCGGGGACAGUGAGAUCCCUGGCAUGGCUGGCUAGCUCCAUUAGUGACUGGCAGGUCCAGUAGAAGGUAUGCACUCCACCAACUAAGCUAUACCCCAAUCCCCCAUUCUUCAAGUUUAAGGCAGGGGGUUUCACUAUGUACCCCAGGCUGGCUGAAACUCUCAUUCCUCCUGCCUCAGUUUGUAGAAUGUGGAUUGCCGGUGCCACUGCACCAGACUCUACCAGUAUUUGUUAAACAAAGGAUCCAAAGACAACUCGAGGCCAAAA
rnacentral:lncRNA from 1 species